rnacentral:rRNA from 1 species
AAGUCGAGCGGACAGAUGGGAGCUUGCUCCCUGAUGUUAGCGGCGGAAGGGUGAGUAACACGUGGGUAACCUGCCUGUAAGACUGGGAUAACUCCGGGAAACCGGGGCUAAUACCGGAUGCUUGUUUGAACCGCAGGGUUCAGACAUAAAAGGUGGCUUCGGCUACCACUUACAGAUGGACCCGCGGCGCAGUAGCUAGUUGGUGAGGUAAUGGCUCACCAAGGCAACGAUGCGUAGCCGACCUGAGAGGGUGAUCGGCCACACUGGGACUGAGACACGGCCCAGACUCCUACGGGAGGCAGCAUUAGGGAAUCUUCCGCAAUGGACGAAAGUCUGACGGAGCAACGCCGCGUGAGUGAUGAAGGUUUUCGGAUCGUAAAGCUCUGUUGUUAGGGAAGAACAAGUACCGUUCGAAUAGGGCGGUACCUUGACGGUACCUAACCAGAAAGCCACGGCUAACUACGUGCCAGCAGCCGCGGUAAUACGUAGGUGGCAAGCGUUGUCCGGAAUUAUUGGGCGUAGAGGGCUCGCAGGCGGUUCCUUAAGUCUGAUGUGAAAGCCCCCGGCUCAACCGGGGAGGGUCAUUGGAAACUGGGGAACUUGAGUGCAGAAGAGGAGAGUGGAAUUCCACGUGUAGCGGUGAAAUGCGUAGAGAUGUGGAGGAACACCAGUGGCGAAGGCGACUCUCUGGUCUGUAACUGACGCUAAGGAGCGAAAGCGUGGGGAGCGAACAGGAUUAGAUACCCUGGUAGUCCACGCCGUAAACGAUGAGUGCUAAGUGUUAGGGGGUUUCCGCCCCUUAGUGCUGCAGCUAACGCAUUAAGCACUCCGCCUGGGGAGUACGGUCGCAAGACUGAAACUCAAAGGAAUUGACGGGGGCCCGCACAAGCGGUGGAACAUGUGGUUUAAUUCGAAGCAACGCGAAGAACCUUACCAGGUCUUGACAUCCUCUGACAAUCCUAGAGAUAGGACG